GACGAACGCUGGCGGCGUGCCUAAUACAUGCAAGUCGUGCGGACCUUUUAAAAGCUUGCUUUUAAAAGGUUAGCGGCGGACGGGUGAGUAACACGUGGGCAACCUGCCUGUAAGACUGGGAUAACGCCGGGAAACCGGGGCUAAUACCAGAUCGUUUUUUCCUCCGCAUGGAGGAAAAAGGAAAGGCGGCUUCGGCUGCCACUUACAGAUGGGCCCGCGGCGCAUUAGCUAGUUGGCGGGGUAACGGCCCACCAAGGCAACGAUGCGUAGCCGACCGGAGAGGGGGGUCGGCACCAGUGGGACUGAGACAAGGCCCAAACUCCUACGGGGGGCAGCAGUAGGGAAACUUCCGCAAUGGACGAAAGUCUGACGGAGCAACGCCGCGGGAGUGAAGAAGGCCUUCGGGUCGUAAAACUCUGUUGCCGGGGAAGAACAAGUGCCGUUCGAACAGGGCGGCGCCUUGACGGUACCCGGCCAGAAAGCCACGGCUAACUACGUG
rnacentral:rRNA from 1 species